rnacentral:rRNA from 1 species
AACACAUGCAAGUCGAACGGUAGCACAGAGGAGCUUGCUCCUUGGGUGACGAGUGGCGGACGGGUGAGUAAUGUCUGGGAAACUGCCCGAUGGAGGGGGAUAACUACUGGAAACGGUAGCUAAUACCGCAUAACGUCGCAAGACCAAAGAGGGGGACCUUCGGGCCUCUUGCCAUCGGAUGUGCCCAGAUGGGAUUAGCUAGUAGGUGGGGUAAUGGCUCACCAAGGCGACGAUCCCUAGCUGUUCUGAGAGGAUGAUCAGCCACACUGGGACUGAGACACGGCCCAGACUCCUACGGGAGGCAGCAGUGGGGAAUAUUGCACAAUGGGGGAAACCCUGAUGCAGCCAUGCCGCGUGUGUGAAGAAGGCCUUCGGGUUGUAAAGCACUUUCAGUAGGGAGGAAAGGUAAUAACUUAAUACGUUAUUACUGUGACGUUACCUACAGAAGAAGGACCGGCUAACUCCGUGCCAGCAGCCGCGGUAAUACGGAGGGUCCGAGCGUUAAUCGGAAUUACUGGGCGUAAAGCGUGCGCAGGCGGUUUGUUUAGCGAGAUGUGAAAGCCCCGGGCUCAACCUGGGAAUUGCAUUUCGAACUGGCGAACUAGAGUCUUGUAGAGGGGGGUAGAAUUCCAGGUGUAGCGGUGAAAUGCGUAGAGAUCUGGAGGAAUACCGGUGGCGAAGGCGGCCCCCUGGACAAAGACUGACGCUCACGCACGAAAGCGUGGGGAGCAAAC